UGGUUCUGGCAUCGAUGAAGAACGCAGCGAAAUGCGAUACGUAAUGUGAAUUGCAGAAUUUAGUGAAUCAUCGAAUCUUUGAACGCACAUUGCGCCCACUGGUAUUCCGGUGGGCAUGCCUGUUCGAGCGUCAUUACGACCCUUACGCCUCGUUGCGUAGCGUUGCGGUGGUACCGUCUGGUACGCCGUUAAAGUCAGUGGCAGAGCCCUAUCUUACUCUCAGCGUAGUACUUUUUCUCGCUUUGUAGUGGAUGCGGCGAUCGCCAUAAGCCUCUUUUUUAUGGUUGACCUCGAAUCAGGUAGGAAUACCCGCUGA
rnacentral:misc_RNA from 1 species